rnacentral:rRNA from 1 species
GAAUGCUGACAUAAGUAACGAUAAAGCGGGUGAAAAGCCCGCUCGCCGGAAGACCAAGGGUUCCUGUCCAACGUUAAUCGGGGCAGGGUGAGUCGACCCCUAAGGCGAGGCCGAAAGGCGUAGUCGAUGGGAAACGGGUUAAUAUUCCCGUACUUGGUGUUACUGCGAAGGGGGGACGGAGAAGGCUAUGUUGGCCGGGCGACGGUUGUCCCGGUUUAAGCGUGUAGGUGUGUGUUCCAGGUAAAUCCGGUUCACUUUAACACUGAGGCGUGAUGACGAGGCACCACGGUGCUGAAGCAACAAAUGCCCUGCUUCCAGGAAAAGCCUCUAAGCAUCAGGUAACAUCAAAUCGUACCCCAAACCGACACAGGUGGUCAGGUAGAGAAUACCAAGGCGCUUGAGAGAACUCGGGUGAAGGAACUAGGCAAAAUGGUGCCGUAACUUCGGGAGAAGGCACGCUGACACGUAGGUGAAGUGAUUUACUCAUGGAGCUGAAGUCAGUCGAAGAUACCAGCUGGCUGCAACUGUUUAUUAAAAACACAGCACUGUGCAAACACGAAAGUGGACGUAUACGGUGUGACGCCUGCCCGGUGCCGGAAGGUUAAUUGAUGGGGUCAGCGCAAGCGAAGCUCCUGAUCGAAGCCCCGGUAAACGGCGGCCGUAACUAUAACGGUCCUAAGGUAGCGAAAUUCCUUGUCGGGUAAGUUCCGACCUGCACGAAUGGCGUAAUGAUGGCCAGGCUGUCUCCACCCGAGACUCAGUGAAAUUGAACUCGCUGUGAAGAUGCAGUGUACCCGCGGCAAGACGGAAAGACCCCGUGAACCUUUACUAUAGCUUGACACUGAACAUUGAGCCUUGAUGUGUAGGAUAGGUGGGAGGCUUUGAAGCGUGGACGCCAGUCUGCGUGGAGCCGACCUUGAAAUACCACCCUUUAAUGUUUGAUGUUCUAACGUGGACCCGUAAUCCGGGUUGCGGACAGUGUCUGGUGGGUAGUUUGACUGGGGCGGUCUCCUCCUAAAGAGUAACGGAGGAGCACGAAGGUUGGCUAAUCCUGGUCGGACAUCAGGAGGUUAGUGCAAUGGCAUAAGCCAGCUUGACUGCGAGCGUGACGGCGCGAGCAGGUGCGAAAGCAGGUCAUAGUGAUCCGGUGGUUCUGAAUGGAAGGGCCAUCGCUCAACGGAUAAAAGGUACUCCGGGGAUAACAGGCUGAUACCGCCCAAGAGUUCAUAUCGACGGCGGUGUUUGGCACCUCGAUGUCGGCUCAUCACAUCCUGGGGCUGAAGUAGGUCCCAAGGGUAUGGCUGUUCGCCAUUUAAAGUGGUACGCGAGCUGGGUUUAGAACGUCGUGAGACAGUUCGGUCCCUA